rnacentral:rRNA from 1 species
UCACCUACGGGGGGCAGCAGUGGGGAAUAUUGGACAAUGGGGGAAACCCUGAUCCAGCGACGCCGCGUGAGUGAAGAAGUAUUUCGGUACGUAAAGCUCUAUCAGCAGGAAAGAAAAUGACGGUACCUGACUAAGAAGCCCCGGCUAACUACGUGCCAGCAGCCGCGGUAAUACGUAGGGGGCGAGCGUUAUCCGGAAUUACUGGGUGUAAAGGGAGCGUAGGCGGGAAGCCAAGUCAGCUGUGAAAACUACGGGCUUAACCUGUAGACUGCAGUUGAAACUGGCUUUCUUGAGUGAAGUAGAGG